AAUCACACUCAGCCAACCAACACAAUAGUACUCAGCCAAGCCCCACACAGAAUCACAGUCAGAAAACACCACACAAUCACACUCAGCCAGCCACACAUCCCAUUUAGGUAUAUUACUAAAGGGGGAGAAAGGAGGGGGAUAAUGGGGCCCUUCUUUGAUUCUUGCUCCAGGGACAUGUGAUUCCUAGUUACACCCUUGCCUGACAGUCAA